UAGCAUAUCAAUAAGCGGAGGAAAAGAAACCAACAGGGAUUGCCUCAGUAACGGCGAGUGAAGCGGCAACAGCUCAAAUUUGAAAUCUGGCCUCUUUGGGGUCCGAGUUGUAAUUUGUAGAGGAUGUUUCGGGUACCGCCUCGGUUUAAAUUUCUUGGAACAGAAUGUCAAAGAGGGUGAGAAUCCCGUCUUGGACCGGCGGUAGGGCCCAUGUGAAACUCCUUCGACGAGUCGAGUUGUUUGGGAAUGCAGCUCAAAAUGGGUGGUAAAUUUCAUCUAAAGCUAAAUAUUGGCCAGAGACCGAUAGCGCACAAGUAGAGUGAUCGAAAGAUGAAAAGCACUUUGAAAAGAGAGUUAAACAGUAUGUGAAAUUGUUGAAAGGGAAGCGCUUACAACCAGACUUGCGCGCGGCGGUUCCCCCUUCCUUUUGGUUGGGCUACUCCGUCGUGUCCAGGCCAACAUCGGUUCUGGGGGUCGGUUAAAGACCCUGGGAAUGUAUCUACCCUUCGGGCGUAGACUUAUAGCUCAGGGUGUCAUGCGACCUCCCGGGACCGAGGAACGCGCUUCGGCUCGGAUGUUGGCGUAAUGGUUGUCAGCGACCCGUCUUGAAACACGGACCAAGGAGUCUAACAUCUAUGCGAGUGUUUGGGUGUCAAACCCGGAACGCGAAAUGAAAGUGAACGGAGGUAGGAAGCCAUGAGGCUGCACUAUCGACCGAUCCUGAUGUCUUCGGAUGGAUUUGAGUAAGAGCAUAGCUGUUGGGACCCGAAAGAUGGUGAACUAUGCCUGAAUAGGGUGAAGCCAGAGGAAACUCUGGUGGAGGCUCGCAGCGGUUCUGACGUGCAAAUCGAUCGUCAAAUUUGGGUAUAGGGGCGAAAGACUAAUCG
rnacentral:rRNA from 1 species